AACUUUGUUUUAUGAGAAAAGAUCCUCUAAACUUCAUGACCCAGCCAAUGCUCCUUGUCUUUGCGUGCAUGGGAUGGCAUCAGAAGUAGAAA